GGGAUCUAUUCACUGCUGUGGACGAUUUCAUAAAAUAACUAUUCGAGAAACAAGUAUUGCAGCUGUUAAUUACAGUUGCAUGAUGAUGAUAGUGAAGAUGAAAACCCUGUAGUUAGUCAUCAACCAGAGAAAGUCACAGUAGAAAUUAAUAAUGAAGCCAUAAUUACAUCCCUUUGUGCGCUCCUUGGCCAACACUAAUGUUUUGGUUCCAAAGAAUGCCUUCCAGAGACUCAACAGAACAAUGUUUUCUGCAUCUUUGCGCAAGAGCUGGCCGUCUUGGUCUUCACCAGAGAAACUUUAAGAGACUCCACCCUUACUGGAAAAUCUUCAAAGGGAGCACUACUAGAGACAACUAGAUGUGGCAAAUGUGCAUGCAAUAACAGUUAUGGCUGAAUUUCCAAAUACAUCAGCUUCAGAUGUGCGGACUGCAAUAAGGUGAAAAGGCAACAAUGAGCAGUUCAUAAGUAAAAAAAAAAAUGUUUAGUUUGUUUUGUACUAAGCUCUUUACACUUUUACAUUUGAUGGCCACUGUUGCCAAAGAAAAUU